GGAAGCACACGAGCCACUUUCCACGAUGCACACUCAGAAACGCUCCUGAGGGAGAAGCACUUUGAGUCCGAGCCCUGCAGGUGUGCUCGCAAAGCCCUUGACCCAGAGUGGCAAACAGGAGCCCCCGAGGUCGGAAAUUUUUCUGGUGCAGUGAUUUCUGGAGGAGAGCAAAAGGAGCGUGCACAGAGGAGACUGCUGAGCUGUGGGAAGACCUGUUGAAAGGGCGGUGGAUUGUACUAUCUUUUGCACCUAUUUAUGUGCUCCUUCCCUUUGAGAGUGACAUAUAUUCUCACUCCACUGACUUUGGACUUGACAGUGUGACAUGAUUCGGCCUAUGGAAUGUGAAUAGCUGUGAUGACGUCCUCCAGGUCUCCGCAGAAGCUUUGAAAUGUAUUGACAGAGUCUCCACCAUCACACUUGCUUUUCCUGCUGUCAUAGGAAUGGGCUGACCCAGACGGGGCAGCUCCUACAGCCUGGGCUCUCGAAUGAGAAGUCACAGGGCAGAGCCACAGGAUCCACUGUUGACAGCCACCCACAUGUGAUGUGAGUGAGAAAGAAACGUUCGUUGUUGUGAGCCACUGAGGUUUGGGGGUUGCUUGUUACCACAGCCAAACUGACACAGACAGACAGUAUUAAGAAGAACAGGGUCUCCAAGGAGGUGUCCCAUGACCUACUGGAGAGGAGAGGGGCCAAGUCUCAGAAGCUGAAGUCAAGGAGGGUAUUGAAGUAGACAAAACACUUUCACACAGGCGUGCAUGUAUGCAAGCACAAAACACAAGGAAACCCUCAACGUUGUCUGCCCUUUAUUUCCAUAAGACAUUGUACUACUUAGCAGGCCCCUGGAGCUAACUAGCUUUCCCACAGGGUCUCCUCACGCCCACCGUACUCCAGCAGCUCCUCCCUUGCUCCUGGCCUUGAUUCCUGGGUGGUUCUCAUUGAGAAAGUCCAAAAAACCCUUUGCAUUGGCUUCUGUUUUGUUUGCUUUCACUUGUGCCAUCCUGUUGUGGAUGGGAAGGAAGCAUGCCAACAUCAGCCCCUGCCACAGACCAAGGGAAACAUUUCCCGGCCUCCGUUGGAUGCAGUUCCCUUCCCGUGGGUCUUCCUUCCAGAGCCAGGUCUGUAAACCUGGGGAGCAAACGGUUUGAUGCCACACUCUGUCCUGCCCAGAAGAGAUUUUUCUCAGAGGGGACCAAAGAGGGAGGGGGCUGAGGUCUCUGCUGUGUUUCUUGCCCUCUGGUCCCAGCAGUCCUCACAAAUGGGCACAGAGGUUCUGGCAGACACCGCCAUCUUGCUUUUUGGAAGAGGGGCCACUGAAAGAUUCUGACCUCACUGGUCUGGGCAAGUUUUCCAUUUGGAGUGCUUUCCAUCCGGGAGGCAAAGCAAACAUCUGGCCACACAGCAACCUUUCCCCUGCCAGCCACCCCUCUUGGGGAUUCCAGGCAUUUGUUCCAUCAUUUCUCCAUUUUCUUUCCAUACCAUCUCCCUGAGCUUUGGCUGCUUCUCUCUUCCCUCCCAUCCAGAGAGCCAUUCACAGCCUCUCUCCACUCAUGUCUGCUCCUGGCCCUGACAGGAAUUUUCCUGUGGCUUUCUGUGAUCUCCAAUCCUAUAAUUUACCACCCAGUCCUUGAAGGCUCUCCCUGCACUGAAGACUUUCCGAGUGAAUCUUGGUCCAGGGUGGUUGCUCCGGGUAAUUAUCACAGAAGGGCUUGGAGAAACUGCCUCUGGAUCCCAGCAGCACCCCAGCCCCCACCCAGCUCAUGGCAGCUCAUAGCAGCUCACUGCAGCUCUGUCCUUGUUUUUGGUGCUUUUCGGGUGCAAGGACCAGAGGCACAAUCAGGCAACCUCAGGCACCGCCGGCAGGAUAUGUGGUUCAGGAAUGAAACUCAGGCUGUCUCAGAGGACUUGUGGUGAACUGCCUCUUGGCUCCUCACCAUUCAGCUCAGCAGUCUGUGGCCCCUCAGAUGUUGCAUCCUCUCUUCCUUACUCCUAUGCCUUCAUCGUUCUCGCAUCUCGGCUGUUUUUGGCUGCUGUUUCCAUGGCUGCCACUCCCAGUCUCUCUCCUCUCCCCCUCACCUCUUUGGCUUCUGCUUGCUCAUGAUGUCUAGCCCUGUGUGGCUUCUGCUUACUGCCAUCCCUUGUGGGGUCUCUCAGCUCUGCUGCACUCUACUGACUGGAGCCAUCUCUAUGAGGCUGCUAUCAAAACUCCAUGAGAGAACGCAGUUGGGGCAAUUAUUUCUUUCUGGCAUCUAGUCCUUGCUGGACAGAGUUCUGUGCUAGGCCACCUCACAGGUCUCUGGUGUCCUCACAACCAGCCCAUGGAUGGCCCUCUUUAAGUCAAGUGCUGAGCCUCAGAUCAGCUGAUUAUUUAUGGCCAGAUUUGCAUGGUCACAUGACCCAGAGCAUGGCAACCAGUGGAUAAGGAACUGCCUGGGGCUGCUCUGUUCAGAAUGCAGUGUGAGUGUGGUGGGCACUCAUGGGCUCUCCAGCCAUCGAACAGCACCCCCAAGUGUAUCCGGCCUUGGUACCCCAGCUCACAAUUCAAGAGAGCCAUUAUCUGUCCCGUUUAAGGCUAGCUCGUGUUUCUCUUACUGCUGCUUGACACACACCACACCUCCAAGCAGGCAGCUCUUCAUAUAUGCGCACACCACCCACUGUCCAGAGUGCCCCUGCCCAGUUCCAUCCACCUCCUACUCAAGCGCUGGCUCAACCAUUCCAGCUCCUCCUCCAAGUUUCCUUCCAUCCCGCUUCCCUUCCAGGGUACCUAUGUUUCUGCCAUAGGGAUUGGCCCUUGCACGUGGUUUGUCCUGCACUGUUUUCCACAUGUCUUCACCACACUGCUCCUCAGUGGGACUAACACUUGACAAGGGCCACUGUGGAGUGUCAGUCGUCAACACCACGGCACCUCACUCACAGUCAUGCUUUCUUCCUGUGGCCCAGCUUCUGCAGACACAGAGAGGAAAGAGACUGGAGCCCUCCAUCUGGUGGGGACAUCAGACAGGAACCCGGGAAUUGUUCAACAGUAACAGCAGUAUUUGUGAAAUUGGGUCACGUCACUUCUUUACUGAAAACCACCCUAGUGUUUUCUUUUGGUACUAGGAGUCACUUGGAACCCUCUGUGUGGCCCACAAGCACUUGCAUCACCUGCUCACUCCUUCAACCUUCUCUCCAGGCACACUCCCUCAGCCCAGCCUGCACCACCAGCCUGGCUUCUCAAUUCCUCAAAGACACAAACUCUGUCUCCUCAGCUAAUCAACAAGCUCCAUAAGGCAGGGGCUGGGCUUCUUGAUCCCCACAGUGCCUAAGACAAUGCUCAGCACGUGUAGGUGUUCAAUAAAUAUUUUUGAGUGGCUAAGUGAGCAAUCUAUAUGUUGAUGUGAAUGGAGAGAGAAAUCAUUAGGUACCUGGGAGGAGCAGGGAGGAGGUAGGCAUGGCAGCCUGAAGAGGGCAGUGAUGGGAGACAGGCUGAAGGGGAUUUGGGUCAGACUGUAAGGCCAUAAUCUGAAGCCAGGGGCUGGAAGGUCUUGCUGAGGAAGGAGCAUGGAUGAUUCAGGAGGAGGCCUUUGGCAGCCACUGGCAGGACAGAGUGAAGCCUGAGAAACCUAGAAGCUGGGAGAUGGGCUGGGAAGCUUUGGAACUAGUCUAGGGCUGGCUGAAGAGGCGCACCGACUGGUCACGGCCCGGGAACAGACAGGAGCUGCUGCCAGGGCCCCCGUUUCCGCUCAGUGUCUCCCUGCUCCUUGGUGAUGCUUCUGACAACACGUGUGAAGAGGCAGCAGCUGAAGUCCCUGCCCGCAGCACGGUUCCUGUCUGUAGGGGGGGCAGCGGCACAGCCACACCUAGUGACUGAAGUGACAGUUUCUAUCAGCAGGAGACGUUUCUCAGGCUCUCCUCUAAGUGGAACAGCUCUCAUGCUUCUGCAGAGCAUCUCUGCUCCGCCCUGGUUUCUGGAACGCGGGGCUUGCCCCGGAGUGGGUACCGGAUCACCAUUACGUUGCAUUUGUAUGACGCCAGUGCUUGGAAAGGGAGUCAACAGCUCUGACUCAGACCGAGCCAUGAGCAAGCCUGGCCCUGCGGCUUCCAAGCAGUGGGCUCUUGGGCUGUUCCUGCACUUCUCUGAGCUUUCCUUCACACAUCUGAAAACGUGGAGAUAAGGCUCGUGAAGUCCUUAGUGACAAAGUUCAGUAAAGGCUAGCUAGUUGUUAAAAUUCAUGAAAAAGUUGUCACAUACACGAUCACAUUUCACCCUCACAACAAAGCUGAGGCACCGGCGAGGCAGCUAUGAUUAUCCAUAUUUUGCAGAGGAAACGAAGAUUUGGAGAGGUUCUGUGGCUGGCUGAGCGGCACCUAAGCCCAAGUCUUUCCAGCUCAAAGCUGGUGCUCUGUUCCCUAUGAUAGGGGUUCCCAUAGAAGUCCUCUGGCUACUUAAGAUUCAGAUUUAGAAGGUGUGAGGUGGAUUCGAGAAAGGAUCUUUUACACAAUCGCCCCAGAUGGCCACCUGAGAAGCGCUUAUAGAGCUGGGACUAGGACAGCCUGUGCGGCUCUGAGCCGAGGCUGUUAUACUCAAGUCCCUCAGGAGAAAAGGAAUAAAACAGGUUGCCCUGCACAAAUAGUGGAAACUUCUGGAAGGAGAAGUCUGCUUCUCUCCAGGCCACAGCAUUAAGCUCCAAGAAAGGAGGUAGAAAGGGAGUGUGCCCAGAGCUGACAAGGAGUUGUGUGGAGGACGUCUCUUGACCUCAAAAAUGCUAGAGAGGCGUUGCUCUUCAAUAAUGACCAGCUCUGGAGCUAGAUGGCCUGGAUUCGAAUCCUUUCUCUCUGGUUUCCUAGCCCUGUGGCUUUGACAAGUCAUUUAAUCUCCUCCCUCAGUUUUUCCAUAUGAAACAAAAGAUUCUACCUCCAGGAAACAGCCCUUGGUACAGCUCCCUGCGUAUAGAGAGCGCUCAGUAAUUGUGAGCUACUGUUAUGAACAUCACUACCGUUGACUCCAGCAGCCUCUCCUUUCCAGCCUCUCCCUCUCCACAGCUUAAAGCCAGACUCAGUUAACAGGCCAGGCCGAACCAGACCAGGAAGAAACAGGCACAAGGAUGAAAGUCGCCAUGAGGCAAACCCAACAGAAGAGUCCGGUCAGCUUUGCUCAAAAGUGCUGCAAUCCCCCCUCAGAGCCUUUCCUCACACCAGAGUGACCAGGGGCCCACGGAACGCUGGCCAGAUGAAGGGACAAGCUGGGCCGAGCCCCCGCUCUCUGAUUGACAUUGCCAAGUGCCACCUUCGAAACAACUGUCACUAAGAAGCUAGACUUGCUGUCCUGGACAUGCACCACAGGACGGGGGCAUGGCAGGUGGCAUGGACCCAUGGCUGCUCGGCCACCCCUCAGGGCUGUGUGUCCUUGACACAACACCAGAGAAGCAAGGACUCUGUCAGAGCAGUGGCAAAAACCACAGGUCAGGUCAAACGAGUGGGUGCCUGGGGGAGCUGUCCACUCUUCCUCUCACUAUCCUGGCGUCAGGAAGACUCAGCUAAUGUUUUUGGUGCUGGAAACUACGUCCUCAUCUUGGGCUUUCUCCAUUACCACCAGCUCCGCUCCGCUUGGAUGGCUGCCCUCGGGAAUUUGUUCAGUGCAAAACAAACAGAAAUGUAUUUUGUAUUGGAUCAUUGGCAGCAAGGAUGGGCUCUAACUGCUCUCUGACCUGUUAAACUAGAAGCAAGACCAAACGUCAUUCUACGGAGACGUGAAGGCCACUUCCCUCACCCAAACAUAUAGGCCAUAGUCUAGAAGGGCCUGGUGCUGAGGGAUAAAGACCUUACUGUGUGGAUAGGAACCCCAAUGCUCAGAAGCAACUUGCCCAAGGUCAUACAGCAAGUUUGAGAGAGCCAAGAGUGGAGCCCAGGUCUCUGAACCCUCCGCACCCAGGUCCCCAGCUGGUUUUGUGUGGGAUAGACAUAAUCCUUGGAUGUUUGCCAGGGCUUUAAGCUUACUGAAGUAGAAGCUGGUUUACCCUGAAUUCUAAACAUUAGAAAUGCCAGUUUGGGGAUUCUCAGAUACAACAAUAAUCAUUAUUCAUAAUAAGGACAAUGGAGCUUUGAAAGAUUUUAAAGUAACUUUCUCAUCCUCAAAGAUUAAAUUAUGUUUAGUGGAGCUGGGGAGCUGCCAGAUGCUGUCUAUAAAGGAGCUGUCCUCGAACAUGAAGGUGUAUAAAACCAGCUAAACAACUGAUUUGUACCAUCUCUCAGUGAGUCCAGCUAUUUGACCACACAGAAUAUCCUAUUUCUCCAACGGCUGGAUACCAGUUCUUGGAAUACUGCUUGAAAAAUCACAAGUCUAAGACUUGAGAGCGCUCACAGUGGCUGCACGAGGCGUCUGUGCAGUUGUGAUGUUAGUGUGGGGGACAUGCUCCCUACUGAUGGAUGUUCUUUUGGUGGCCGAGGAGAGGGGACUGUGGAAGAGGCCUGUGGAGCACUGGGGGCUUCCAGGUAGAGGGCUGGUCCAGUUGAAAGAGAAAGGAGGAGGGUGUGAGUGAGCUGGGCUGGGGAGCUGUUAGGGUUGAUUUGCUUAUCAGUGAAGAUUCUGAGUGGAAGAGCCUAAGCUGGCAUUUCUUCAGGACAUUAGAAUUAACAUUCAUUCCUGCAAAAAGUACCCCUUGACAAGUAGAGUUCUACAAAUGAGUUUUCAAUCAGACUUUGCCACCCAUGACCACCCUUCCCACACACUGAGAGCAGUAGCUCAUAUCAUUUAUUUUUCCUAAUGCUCCAAUGAGGUUUAUAUUAUUGUUCCCAUUUCUCAGAAGGGGAAACUGAGGAACAGAGAAAUUAAAGAGCUGGCCAAAGGCCACACAGCCAGCAAGUGGCAGAGCACGGCUACAAAUUCAGGCCUACCUGACAUGAAAAUCUUCCUCUUAGACUGGGUUUCUUUAUGUGUGGUCCUUGGUCAUCAGGGUCAGAACUAUCAGGGGUACUGGUCAAAAUCAAAGAGCCCUGGGUCCCAGCCCAGAGCUAUAGAACAGGAGCCUCUGGUUUGGGACAUGGGAAUGUGCCUUUUUAGCAAGUUCCCCAGGUGAUUCCAAUGGUCUCAAAGUUUGAAGAACAACGUCCUAAAUGAAGGAACAAACUUAUUGCCCAUGGAUGGGAAGCACUCCCCUGGCACUUCAGGUCAAGACCUCGGGGAAGGGCUUCCUCCCUGGAGCCUCAGCUCUUUCCAGGCUGAGAGACAUCUCUUCCCCAGGUGAUCCGACCCUGUGCUGAGCUCCUCCCCGUCCUUACAGGGGUGGCUUUGUCCCCAUUGUAGGUCCUCUGUGCUGGUGAAGUACAGUGACCAGAGCAUCUUCUGGCACGCAUUUGUGGUGGAUCAUUCCCUUCCUGCUGUGACUUUCAGUUACCCAUGCAGCCCCAGCCCUCCACCAGCAAGAACGAGGGAGAGGUGUCACUUCACCCGGGUGAUCAGGAACAAGACAGCUCAGAAACAGGUUUCCAAACACUGUAGUAGCAAACCUGUGCCCAGAGGCCAGGUCACAACAGGCAGCUUGCCCUCUGCUUUAGCUACGUUGUACAGAUUGGGGCCAAUGUGGUUAUGAAACCUUUUCUGUACAGUAUGCAAGCACCAGGCCUGUGAUUAUUUUAGCUCUUUCAUACAAAAACAAGCCCUUUGGGAGACAGGCUAUGACAGCUCUCAGGCUCAACAGCGCAAUGAUCCCUCUUGCUUUGGCGAUGGCAUCAGCUCAGUGGGACAGGAUCUUGGGCCUGGGAUGGAUCUGCCCAAAACAAGGCGAUGAGAAACGAGGGAGGAAGAAGCCCAAGCCUGGUGACGGCUGUGUCACCCUGCUGCUUGUAGAGAAACCUGCUGUACCUGCAGCGUAGGCCCCAUCCCUCAGGCUCUUGGCCCCCCUCUGUUGUUCCUCGAGCACCUGUGCCCUGUGAUCCUCAGAUAAACCUCAGCUGAGCACAUCUGGCCCAGGGAGGCCAACCCAGAAGCCACCAGAGAGAAAGGACAUGCCCACAUAGAGUCGCUGGCGCCAACCUCCCCCUCAGACUCCCUCUCUUGGAGUUUGAAUUUAGGUAACAAAGGAGUUAGGAAUUUGCGGUGGGAGGAGCCUCUAGAAAAGAGAGUAGCCAAGUCUCAUUAUGAUCAGAAGUCAUUAAUAUGGUGCUGAGAGGACAAUGAGAAAAAUGAGUCUGAGAGCUGCCAUGACAUUUUAGUUCUUAAACUAGGUCAGCUCCCCCAUGGCUGGGGUCUCUGGGAGGCUCCCGUCUCCUCAGGACCCCAGAAACAUUCAAAAAAGUCUUCAUUGUCCGGAGCCCAGGGAGACAGCCUAUUGUGUUGAGCCUCAGGUGGCGCUCUUUCCAGCUCUGAUGCUCUUUGCAGUGAUAGCAGGUGGCCUCAGGCUCCAGAGAGAGGGGGAAACAAAUAUUGACAAGGCACCGUGAAGUGACAGGCACUUUAUGACGUCACGUGUGGGUUAUUUUAUGUAAUCCUCGCGGCCUCUCUCCAGACAGGGAGGUGAUCCCUAUUUAUGGAUGAGCAACCCGAGGGUCCGCAGAAUGGCACAGUAUGUUAGACUCUCAAACCCGUGCUGUUUGUGUGCCUGGCCCUGCUCUUCUUGUACAGUGUAUGUGAUGAUCAGCAUGGACCGGCCCAGUGUUUCUCUGCUGCAAUUUCCACACUGAAAACAAAAACAAAACAAAGAUUGAUGUCUCCCUGAGGGCCCUGGAGGCCACCUGACAGACAGCCCCUGCGACAUUUCUGAGAGCAGGGUGGCUUUGCACUGUGCAUGAGUGACCUCUGGUCAGGGCCCCUUGCUCCUCACCAAGUGAACCUAUGAACACGAGAGGGCCUUGGCUCCUCUCUCUGCCAAGAGCAGCACAUCAGGCUGGAAGCGACACUAGGGACCCUUUGGAGCAUCCCCUCCUUUGUCAGGAGAGGAGACUGAGUCUCAGGGAAGAGAAGUCUCUUGGACUGUCUCUAGCUGACCUUUUUUGAAAACUUCCUGUUUGCCGUACACGCACGGUACAUAAAUUAGCUCAUUUAAUCCUCACAACAUCCAGAAGAGAGAGGUUCUCUUAUUAUCACCAUUUGAUUAUCUUGAGAUAAGAAAGCUGAGGCAGCAAGGGCAGAUAACCCUCCCAGAGGGACAGGCUGGGACUUGAACCAGCAAGUCUGAUCUGGGAGCCUGUCCUUCCAUCCCACGUGAAUCCUGCCCCUCACCCUGCAGCAUUCGUUCUGCUGCAGAGAACUGGGCCUGGAGUUGGCUUAAGCGAUCAUCAUGGUGCGCGUGGUGCUGCCCUCCUGCCUCCAUUUUCCCUGACACUUGAGAAACUUUGAUUGUUGUGGCUAAAGUUUUUGAUGCUUGGUCACUGCAGAAACAAACAAGAAAGGAAGAUUUUAUUUGGAAAGAAAAUCAAAACUAGUACAGGAAAUGCCUCUGUGUAAGGUGGAGCAAGGGGACUUUGGGACAACGAAGACAGCAUUUGGAAGAACAGCUUGAGUGAGGGUGAUGUAAAAUCAGGGAUGUCUUUGAAUUGUUAGAUUUGACACUUCUUGUUUGUUCAACAUGACAGUCCUUUUCUCUGACAGUAUUUGAGUUGGAAAAAAUGUUAUUUAAUUGUAUCAGAUGCUCUUGGUUGCUAAGUAUCAGAAAAUACAGUUAAAUUGACUAAAA